rnacentral:rRNA from 1 species
CUUUCCCUCUGGCGGCAGGCCUAACACAUGCAAGUCGAGCGGAUGAAGGGAGCUUGCUCCUGGAUUCAGCGGCGGACGGGUGAGUAAUGCCUAGGAAUCUGCCUGGUAGUGGGGGAUAACGUCCGGAAACGGGCGCUAAUACCGCAUACGUCCUGAGGGAGAAAGUGGGGGAUCUUCGGACCUCACGCUAUCAGAUGAGCCUAGGUCGGAUUAGCUAGUUGGCGGGGUAAAGGCCUACCAAGGCGACGAUCCGUAACUGGUCUGAGAGGAUGAUCAGUCACACUGGAACUGAGACACGGUCCAGACUCCUACGGGAGGCAGCAGUGGGGAAUAUUGGACAAUGGGCGAAAGCCUGAUCCAGCCAUGCCGCGUGUGUGAAGAAGGUCUUCGGAUUGUAAAGCACUUUAAGUUGGGAGGAAGGGCAGUAAGUUAAUACCUUGCUGUUUUGACGUUACCAACAGAAUAAGCACCGGCUAACUUCGUG